AACGCACGAGACCUGCGGACCUGCGGAGGGAUCAUUACCGAGUUUACAACUCCCAAACCCCUGUGAACAUACCACUCGUUGCCUCGGCGGAUCACCGCGCCCCGUGAAACGGGCCGGCCCGCCAGAGGACCUAAACUCAAAUGUUUUAUUGUAUCUUCUGAGUAAAAACACAAAUAAAUCAAAACUUUUAGCAACGGAUCUCU
rnacentral:misc_RNA from 1 species